UCUGGUCCCAGGAUGACGUCAAAACAGUGUCGCGCUUGCUAAAUAUAGCAUUACUUUUUAUAUCAUGCCACUUUAAAGCCCAUAGAUAUAUCCGGCACUCGUUAUGAAGCACCGAAGAAGAAAUUAAGAAAUAGUCCAGGUGGUAGCAUGCAUUUUAAAGAUCAAGACAAUGUGUUCAUUCUGUUGUCAGCUGUUACCUAGCAUUAGCAUCUGGCUAGCAAUUACGUGUCAGACAUUAGCAAGCUAGCCAAACUUACCGUGACAUCCGUCAAGUGUGAAAGCAGGCGCGUGGUUGGCAGCAGCCUUGUUGUUCAAACUGAACGAAAAGAUGAAAACACCGAUUGCCGCGACAUGACGCGCCUCUCUUGGGACUUGAAAACUGGAUGAGCUUUCAUGCACCUGCUAGCGACGUGUUGCUCCGCUGUAUCCUUGCACCUUUCAACGCUUGUUUCACCACAGCCAUUUCGAGGAAGUAGUUCCACAUCCCGGAACAGACAGGUCUCGGUGACAGUAUUCUUCCGCGCAGCAAGAGAAAAAUAAACCGAUCCAGCGAUAGAAAUGGCGAACCAAGAUGACGUCUACUGUUCUGACUAUAAUAACCAGAGACCGCCUGGAGGGAGGACUCCAAAAAUGUGCUUGUUUUGUUCCUGUUUUAGGGAAGACACUUUCUGAAAUUACUACUUCGCUGUUAUUUGUUUGCAGAUCACAAUAAAACUAUGUAUACUAUUCUAGGGAGGCAUACUGAAUAAUGACAUUCAUUAACUGCAAACUUAUUGUUGCCCGUAGGUUCAGAGUUAACCAGUAGAGUGUAAUUUUGUGCUUUUAAUGUCUCUGUGCGGAUGAGACGUGUAGGAAGCAAGCCGUGUGGUCGUAAUUCAUUUUGAACUUGUUAAUGCGGAUACAGGUGUCAGUGCAUGACAAAGCUCUUUUAAUAUAUGAAAACUUGGCUUCUGUGUGAUUUUGCGCUAAGAUUGCAUGGAGUCAUGAGACUGCAGGGCUGUGUUUGAUUGAUAAAAGAGUCAAACAUCUCCAGUAAUCACACUGGAUUGCAGUCAUAUGAAAUGAAUGCAGUAUGACUGAUCAGCCCCCAUAAAUC